AAGGCAGCACCAGGAGAGAAACAGCUGUGCAGUGUGAUUUGGGAAGUGAACGUCUGAGUGCAAACUCAUCUCUAACACUACAGCAAUAGAUUAGAUUUGGGAUCAGAGUGUUUUGCAGAGCUCCUGGUAGGAGCUGCUCUCUGGAGCCACAGCUCUGCAGUUAUUUGCCCUCUGGAGAUGCAUAUUUAUUUGAAUUAACUUCACAGGGAGCCUAGACAGUGCUAGCUGAGGCCUGGCUAGCUGACUGUUAGGUGUGUAAAACUAGGUGGCAUAAAUUUGCCCUCACAGCUAUAAGUAGUGAGGUGAGAGUUAAGCUCACCCUGGGGAAAGACAAAGAUGGGAACGCAUGCCCAAAACCAGCCUGGGAUUUGAGUGUGGUGAGCACCUCUCUUGUGUUGGUAACUCUAAACGCAGCGGUUGCUUUGAUUUACUGUUGGUUUGUCACAGUGAUGAUCUUUGUGGCAUCAUCCAGGGCACUGCCUGCUCUGAACAAUAUGAGGAGUUGGACUUCAUACACACAACCACACAACCAGGGGUUGCAUCCAAGAUGGAGUUGGGGGUUAAAAUGAUGCUGUUCUGUGUUGUCUGAGAUAGCAGAGAAAAUGCAGUAAGUACACAGCCUGCUUGCUGGAGCAAAGUGCUGCAAGGGACAGACAGAUGGCUGGUGCUGGUAUGGUGCACAGAGCUCCCAGCCAGAAUUAGAGCUCUGAGGUCUGUUUUGAACUUUGUUAAUAUAAAACUCUCUCACUUCUCUGCUUUCUUAACUGCUAUGACAAACCAAACUAACCAACCCUUCUGAAGCCCUAAUGCUCCUUUUGCAGCUACUUCAGACCUCUGCCAUCUCCCAUUGUUUCUGUUCUGGUGAUUUGGUCUGUGGACUUCAGUGAGCUUUCAGUGAUGCUGUUGCUGCUGUUGUUUUUAAAGAAGCAAUGCCCAAAGGGUUCCAGACUGAAAAGGGCUCACACUUGCAUCGUGAUCAGGAACAGGUCAGGGGUGUUCCUCAUUCUCACUUGGCCCCAAGUGUGAGGUGAGCUGCUUUUUGCAGGAGCAGACUGGCAUCACACCCAGAUGCCUUUGGUUCCCACUUGCCUUAUUACUAAUCCAGAAAGAAAAAUUGGAGUGGUGGGGCUGGGUCAUGUAUUGUGCACCAAAUAGCAGAAGAGAUAAAUGGGCAGGGCGCUGCAGGUGCAAACUUCUCUUCCUGCCGUUGCACAUUUUUCUUAUUCUGGAUAAGUCAGAGCACCCUGGCCUCCGCUGGGGUCUGCAGGCACAGCUCUGAUGGAAGAGGUAGCAGGAGGGCUGUCGGAACAGUGACUGUGGUGUUUUAAAGUAGCAGCUGAGCACAAAUGUUUGCUGUUGGGCUUCUUGGGAGAAGGGGCACAGGUAGAUACAGCUCCCACAUUGCUUCUGUUAGCUGGCUUCUGUUGUGAAUCCUGAAACCUCAGGCUUCCUGUACUGACUGCAGAUUUUCACCUCACUAGGGAAUUUGCAAUGCUUGGUUGUCGUACUGUAAUACUUGAAUAAACCUUCUUUUUGUCUCUGGGUGAGCACUUGCACUUCUCCCUUCCUGCUCUGUGUGAUUCUAGUCUUUCAACUGACUUUUGUCUCCAAAACUUCAGGGAGUGAUGCACCAAAAGAAACACUGGUCGCUCCACCAGAGAAGAGUACCAUUCAGGAGGGAGAAUAUCCGAUCCCUGAAGAUGCCUGGUACACAGAUGGGUCCAGCAAGGGCAACCCGAGCAAGUGGAGAACAAUAGCGUACCAUCCUGCCACCAAGACGAUCUGUUUCGACGAGGGGGAUGGUCAGAGCAGCCAAUGGGCAGAACUGCGAGCUGUGUGGAUGGUUAUAACCAGGGGACCUGGUGAUGGUAUCCUGAACAUCUGCACAGAUAGUUGGGCUGUGUACCGGGGGCUCACUCUUUGCAUUGCACAGUGGGCCACCCAGGAAUGGACUAUCCACCCCCAUGAUCUGGGACAAGGACAUGUGGUUAGACAUACUGAAUGCAGUCAAACACAGGACUGUACGUGUCUACCAUGUUUCUGGUCAUCAGCCCAGUGGCUGGCCUGCUUGCACCUUGGGGAAGAUUGUUGGUGGUGGGAAGCUCAGCAGUCCCUCCAGUAACAGGUACAUGGCCUACUGAUGUUGUGGUCAACACUCCUAUCUUCAUUGCUAAAGGGACCCCCAUCAUGUGCCUGUGGCAGAUCAGGACACCUCCUUUGGUGCCUGAUAUUGUGAUGCACCGCAGACAUCCAUCCAGAAGCUGUGGUACAGGCGGCCAGGACGUGCCCAGUUCCAGCCCAAGUGUUGACCAAGGACAGAAAUACAGCCUGUAUCUCGCCCUGGAGAGCAGACCUUCCCCUACUGGUACCCCGAAACAUCUGUAUUUCUCCCCAUGAGUCUUUGAGCCUUCAGGAUCACUGGAAGGAACGCAAUGCCAUCAAUGCUGCUGUCAGAUCUCAUGCAGCGCCCGGAGAUGGUCUGCAUGGCACUGAUGGAGCAUAGGAUAGACCUGCAGCUCACGGCCACGUGCCUCCAGUGACACCGUCGAGCUCUGGCCCAUAACAGAAUAUCAACGUUCGCUGGCCGUCACUCGUCUUGAGUCGUACCAGCACGCAUCGCGAUGCAUCGGAUCUCUGCCAUAGAAAAGCUCACCCUGCAGUCAAAUCGACAUUGGCUCAUGCCGUGAAGGCAGUUCACCUGUGUUGCUGGGAGGGGUGGAGCCUCUCCAGGAUCCCACUGAAGUGCUGACUGCCCCUGGGGAAGGAUCUCUUGCUGGAGAUUACUGUCAUGUUGAAUAUUGCGAGCCUACGACAUCAGCUCAUGAGCAGGUUGUGGAGAACCACAGAGCUGCAGCCAGGAAAUUGCUGAUGAAGGAAUCCCAGCAAGCACAGGGUGAAAGAGUGGCUGCCAGGAAAUAGGAGCUGGAGCAGAUAGGGUGAAGCAGGGGCGCGUCCUCAGAGCUCGGUGUCCUCACAGCUCUGGCUGUGAGGAGGACCUCAGUCCUGGUCCCUCGGGUCCAUGGGUCCCAGCACAGCCAUCCCACAUGGUGCAGCCAUUGUCUUGCUGUAGAAGCAGCUCAUUGCCCAGCUGGAAAAGCAGCUGCAGACUGAGACCAAGGAGAUCAAGGUGCUGUGCCAGGAAAAACAACGCCUGCAAGAGGAGCUGGAGGAGCUGGAGGUGGAGAAUGCCUGCAGCAUCAGAUGGAGCUGGAGGCAGCCCACGUGCCUGGAGCUGUGCUGCUGGAGCUGGUGGAGGCACAGCUGGACCUGAACAGGAUGUACCAGGACACGUUUCAGAUGAACCAGCUACUGAACUCUAUUUGGUGCAGUCCAUCCAGACAGACCACCCUGUCCACCCCUGGGAUACCAGUGGGGCUCCGGCAUGGGAAGCAGCUGCAGGUUUGGCAUGGCUCUCUCUGGAGGCACUUCUGCAAGCAAAGAACCACGAAAGCUUUCUAUCAUCUGUGUCACGCGUAACGGCACAGUGCCAUCUGAGGAGCAGAUGGUACCAGGGGAUGGUGCAGGGACAGGGCACGCACGUGCAGCUCUGUGCUCUCACUCCUGCAGGCGUGCCUGGCUGACAUUAGGGCUGUGAGCUGGCAGCUCACAAAGGAAGUAAAAAGCCAUGACAUACUCAUACCGUCUGCUAGAGCUUCCAUCCGGGGAGCCAGCUGGGAUUCUGCAUCCCAUUCAUCUCCACUCACAUCUGUAAACAAACAGGACAGAGCAGCUCAUAUCAAACACGUCCAUAUCCACAUCCAGAUGGAAACAAGGAGGGAUCGCUCCACAGCACCCUUCUCUCCCUUCCACACAGCAGCAUCUCAGCCGUACAUGCCAGGUGCCUGCAGUGGCACUGUGCUGAUACACAACAAUCCAUGUGUGGAACUGUCUGGAGACGGGGAGGGGAAGAGAACUGAAAGGGGACAAAGAGGGGAGGAAAAUAGAACGGUAGGGGGAGCCCCAAAGGCUCUGUCCUGGCAGUGUUCCUGAGGUUCCACCUCAGGAACAAAAGCUGUGUCUGACCAGAACACUGGAUAGAAAGGACCAGUGUAGUCAUCUAGAAUCACAAUCAGAUAAGAGAAGUUCCCAUUAAAUCUGUGAUCACUUUUUCCAUCAAAGACCAGAGCUGGGUCAGGUAAUGAGAUGGGAUAAACAUCCAGGUUGUCAGUUCCACAGCUGCAGUGGAACAGGGAGACCCACCGGCUGGCCACAGGCAGGUUGCAAAACACUCUGCAGGCCACGUGCAGUACCAUCAUGGACCGCACAGACCAACAUUUGGGCACUCAGGUCUUACUUACCACUGCAGAUCAGUGGUGGACACAAAGGGAGGUGACACUAAAACACAAGAGGAAAAUAUGUAGCCAGAACUUUGCUCUCCAGAAGUUCAGAGUCCUGCUCCACUUUUUGCCAGAUCUGUAUUCUUCAAGAUCACAAACUCCAUCAAGGCAUUCAUUACAGCCCAGGCUGCCUCCAGUCUUAACCUCUCCAAUGCUCUCCUCUGCACUGGUGAGCACCAAGUCCAGUAAGGCUUGACACCAGGUCGGUCCAUCUGUUACUGGACCAGGAGGUCGGCUUUGGCAGACUCCAGCAAUCUCCUCUACUGUCUGCCCCCUGCUGUGCUGCUCUCCCAGCAGGUAUCCAGGCAGUUGAAAUCCCCCAUCAGGACAAGAGCCUGCGAGCGUGACACCUCUUGCAGCUGAAGCAAGAAGGGCUCGUCAACAGCUUCCUCCUGAUCGGGUGGGCUGCAGCAGACUCCGACCACCGGGUGCUCUUCGCUGGGCCGGUCCUUGAUUUUUACCCACAGCUCUUGACCCAAUCACAGCCAUUCCUCAGACACAGCUCCUCGCAGUCCAUCCGCUCCUAGCACAGGGCAGCUCCCUUGCCAUAGCUGCCUCCCCUUCCCUCCCCUUUCCACCCCCCUCCCCUCCCUUUUCCACCCCCCUCCCCUCCUGUCCCCUCCCCUCCCCUGUGUCCUUUGGGCUCAUGAAAGCUAUUUUCAUCCCGGUGUAGAUGUGGGUGUAUUCUCCUGCAGUCCUGCGCUGCCUGUGGGAUGCAGAGUAUCAAAGAAGAAAGCACCAGUAGCUUGUCAGUCUGUGAUUUAUGUUGGUUGUACCAUCCCCAGGGAUACCAAAGCUUGGGGAUGACCUCAGCUGCACAUCAGUACAGAUAUUAAACAUGGGCCCCAAUCCCGACCCCUGGGGAAUGUGAGAGGCGCUCAACUCCAAUGACUUCUGAUCAGGAAAUGAUCUCAGUGAAGCAGCAAAGUUUUUAUUCAUUACUGCAACAAUGGGUGGGCAGCCCCCUUAUGGCAGGGAGACAUUGGGCGCACGAUCAGUUGAACACUUCUCAUUAUAUAUGAACACUAUAUUAUAUAUCUUUCUCCCAUCCCAGGUUUUUACUGUUUCCUACUGGCCAAGUACUCCAGGCGUACAAUCCAUGCAACACAAUAAUUCAUCUUUCCAUAUGAGAGGUACCACCAACCUCACGUUUUCAGGAUGCAUACAGGAGGGCAAUAUUUCUUGAAGCUGUUAUGCCUGUUUCAUCCUAUGCCAAGCCUUCCUUACCCUGCUCCUUAUUUUUCCUUCCCUUACUACUUAGAAAGGAGAAAUAGUGUAUUAGCAGGCAGAAACCAGCAGACUAGGAGACACUGAAAGUUAAAUUCUAUUUUAACGUCCUGGAGACAAAAGGAAAAAGCCCAGUACGUGUCAGGAUCAAACCACUGUUCUGCAUUUUAUACGCAGCCAAAAUGCAGAACAUUUUAUGGUGUGUUCCAAGACACCAAACGUGCUCUUUAACAAACCUUUAACUCUGACAUUAGCAGCUCAUAAGAUUAAAAUGGAACUAUGGAACAUU